rnacentral:rRNA from 1 species
GAUGAACGCUGGCGGCGUGCCUAAUACAUGCAAGUCGAGCGAACAGACGAGGAGCUUGCUCCUCUGACGUUAGCGGCGGACGGGUGAGUAACACGUGGAUAACCUACCUAUAAGACUGGGAUAACUUCUUGAAACCGGAGCUAAUACCGGAUAAUAUAUUGAACCGCAUGGUUCAAUAGUGAAAGACGGUUUUGCUGUCACUUAUAGAUGGAUCCGCGCCGCAUUAGCUAGUUGGUAAGGUAACGGCUUACCAAGGCAACGAUGCGUAGCCGACCUGAGAGGGUGAUCGGCCACACUGGAACUGAGACACGGUCCAGACUCCUACGGGAGGCAGCAGUAGGGAAUCUUCCGCAAUGGGCGAAAGCCUGACGGAGCAACGCCGCGUGAGUGAUGAAGGUCUUCGGAUCGUAAAACUCUGUUAUUAGGGAAGAACAAAUGUGUAAGUAACUAUGCACGUCUUGACGGUACCUAAGCAGAAAGCCACGGCUAACUACGU